GACGAACGCUGGCGGCGUGCCUAAUACAUGCAAGUAGAACGCACAGUUUAUACCGUAGCUUGCUACACCAUAGACUGUGAGUUGCGAACGGGUGAGUAACGCGUAGGUAACCUGCCUGGUAGCGGGGGAUAACUAUUGGAAACGAUAGCUAAUACCGCAUAAUAUUGAUUAUUGCAUGAUAAUUGAUUGAAAGAUGCUACUGCAUCACUACCAGAUGGACCUGCGUUGUAUUAGCUAGUAGGUGAGGUAACGGCUCACCUAGGCGACGAUACAUAGCCGACCUGAGAGGGUGAUCGGCCACACUGGGACUGAGACACGGCCCAGACUCCUACGGGAGGCAGCAGUAGGGAAUCUUCGGCAAUGGACGAAAGUCUGACCGAGCAACGCCGCGUGAGUGAAGAAGGUUUUCGGAUCGUAAAGCUCUGUUGUAAGAGAAGAACGGGUGUGAGAGUGGAAAGUUCACACUGUGACGGUAGCUUACCAGAAAGGGACGGCUAACUACGUG
rnacentral:rRNA from 1 species